AUGAGAGAAUACUACUGCUAUAAAUUCCAUACACGACCAAACAUAUUCAACCCAAUAUUGCACGGUGGACGGCUUUUCCAGCAGUUUGCUGUAGAUACAUACAUCAAGAUUGAAAGCUCCAGAUUGGAUUAUAUGUGGCAUCAUCAGAACAAAAUAAGGGCAGAUCUAUACCAAGGCCUUCUAGACAGCAUUCAAGCAGGAGAACAGAAUGGAGAUGCAGUCGGAAAACGGAGAGUACUUGCCUCAUCGUUUAUUGGAGGGCCACGAGAUAAACUUCGCCGGUAUCUAGAUGCUAUGGCUUUAGUUAGAAAAUAUGGAAAGCCGGAUGUAUUCCUCACAAUGACCUGCAACCCCAACUGGGAAGAGAUCACACGUGAACUACAGUUCGGACAAACACCACAAGAUCGCCCAGACAUUGUAGUUCGUGUCUUCAGGGCCAAGCUAGAAGAAAUGAAGAAGCAACUAUUUGAGAAGGCCAUUCUUGGAAAGGUUCAGGCAUAUACAUAUGUC
rnacentral:rRNA from 1 species